CUGUCCAGUAUCACACAUUUCUAUUAUCCAAUUUUUAACUAUAAAAGAACAAAAAAAUAAAGAAAUAAAAAGAAAGUUAUUAGAUACCUUCCAGCUAUUUAGAGGUCCUCCAUUCCUCAAGAAAUAUUCACUUCAAAAAUUUUCAAAGAAUCAUGGUGGAUAAGGAGAGAUUUGUUUUCUCAAGUGCAAACAUAUAUGGAAUUCAUUGGCAAAUCCACCUCAUAAAAGUUUAUGCAACUCCAUAUGGAUUGAUGGAUAUAAAAAAGAGAGAAAAUGAUGGAACCGAGGAGAGUAAAUAGGGCACUGGUUUAUAGUGGAAUAAGUAUAAUGAUAUACAAUCUGGACAUUACACAAUACAAAAAUUCUACUUGUGGGAACGGUCAAACCAAAGGACACAUGUUAUACGAAGAGACACGAGUCAUUUGGCGAUAGGGAUUUCAAUGGCAAUGACCUAGAAUGACCGCCCUGCUUUGAGGCAACCAUUGCAACAAGAUGUGAACCUUUCCCCUCUUAGGAUGGCAGACAUUGCAUCUAUUGUGACGAGAUAAACAAUAAAUGCUAUUAACUCCUCCUACAUUGCAUCAGAAGAACCUUCAACAUAAAUUAUGAAGCUAUGAUAGUUAAUCAAGGACAAGAUUAGGUGAUCAAUCACUCAGCUAUAGAAUGGAGCAGACAGCUCAAUAACUGGUGGGAUCAGACCCACCAAAUCAGUGCAACCCUGAAUGAUAUAAAGACCCACAAGGGAAGGGGGAUUUCUCUAUUUUGAAUUCCUUCUCUUACCAAUUUAUCUAUUUAAGCCCUUGAGAUGCCCAUCAUCGACUUGAUCCUCAGAAAAGAAUUGACCUAACUGGCCUCCCCACUCUAACCAUGCAUUUUAGUGUUAUAGAGGAAGGCUCAUCAAUAAGAAAGGUUAGCAACUUGCUUGGAGGGUGAAACUCUACUCAGACAGAAAACUUUAGUUUUUAACAUGGACUAUGUAGCAUAUAUUUGGAUAAGGUUAUGCUCCAAUCUCCACUGCUAGCAAAAAUAGGGGCACAACCUCAAGGACCUGACUUCCCAGCUAGAAUUCUUCUUAGGUACUGUUUUUGUGGAUGGGAGAGGAUAGUUGAUAUAGAAGAGAAUCCAAAAGAAACAUUAGUCAAUCAUAUACGUCACAAUUUCAAUGUUUCUAGCGUAUUUCUCUCCAGUAAACCGAGGCCCUUCUUUCCUCACAUAGAACAACAACAAAAGGUUCUCCAUUUUGGUGGUUGCUUCAGAUAAAGUGGUCUAUCACAGUACAAAAGACAUGCCAAUUGAAGGCAAAUGGGAAAUUUGCUAUCUUAAAAAAUCAUCAUAAUCAUUGAAAUUGUCAGAGACAUUCAUAAACAUAUUCUCAGAAAAGGGGGAAAUUGAAAGGAAAAUUUUGGGUAAAUUGGGUAUGCUGUAAAUCAUCAAUCCAGGAGUAUCCAAGACUUGUGAUUGCCAUAAGAAGAACCAAUUAAACCAGAGAAAAAAAAAAAGGAAAAAAAUCAUCAAGAACUGAGGGUUUCAAUCUCACCAAGAUAUCAAGCUUCCCAAACUGGGCUUUGAUGAAAUCUGCAAUGGAAGAAAUACUAGCAGGAUCCCCAACAUCAAGCUGAUGAAAAACCAGAUUAGAGAGACCAGAUCCUUUGAGACUUUCUAGAGCUUCAAGACCCCUCUUCUCAUCUCUAGCUGUUAACACCACUCUCACCCCAUUGGCAGCCAACUGCCUACAUAUUUCCAACCCAAUCCCUUUAUUUGCUCCCGUAACAACUGCAUACCUGAGUCACACCCAAUACACAAGAAAGUAAGAACAACAGUUGUUUUAUAUGUGGUUGGAGAUUGUGAAAAGGGCCAUGGGAUAAAAACCAAGUACCUUGUUGCUGCUUCAGCCAUUGUUGAUGAGAUGGGUACUGUGUUUGAAGUGCGGAAGAAGAUGGAAUUUUUGUUUCAUUGCAAGGUUUGUUGUACUAAAAACAAGAGCAAUGAAGAUUAUUGUAAUGCAUUCGAUUGAGACAGAAAUUACAAUUUACAAGUAGAGUUGUUGUUCCCUUUCUUAUUUUUUGUGGUACUCAUGAUUGGAUAUCGACAAAUUUAACAGGCUUUAGUUUGAAUUGUUUGGCAAAUCAAACUUGGUGUUUGGUAAUUGUUUCUAAAACUGCUAUACUAUAUAACCAAUUUUUUUGAUAAUUCAUUUUAAAAAUAUAAAGUUUUUUAAAAUAGAUUUAAUAUAUUUUUUUUAUCAUUUUGUGUAAAAUAUUAUUAAAAAUUUACCUUUGAUUUUUCAAACACAAUCUUAUUUUAAUUAUUUUUUAAAAUUAUUCUUGAUAAAAAUAAAAUAAAAAUAACAAGCCUUAAAUUUUUUUAUUAUACAAAGUCUAAGGUUAAUUAUAAAUUUAGAUAAAAAAAAUUUCCUACACAAAACAAAGACUUUUAAAAACAAGUAGUAGACUUGGAAGAAAAAAGGAAAAAAUGAAAUUCUAUUUCAUAUAUUAUGAAAGCGUGGGCCUUUUUAUAAUUAUUUCAUUUAUUAUGAAAAUGAGUUUCCUAAAUAUUCCCUUAUAUUACCCAUGUGAUAGAUGGUUUCUCUUCUCAAUUAUUUUGGAUAUCUUUUUAAUUACUCUCUAAUUUCAAAUUAUUUGACAUUAACGAGUUCAACAAGACAAAUUGAAGUUUUGCCCUUUCAAUAUAAGUCCUUAAUUUGAAUUAACUUAUGCAAUUCUUUGAAUAUUUACAAUAUAUAUAUAUAUAUAUAUAUAUAUAUAUAUAUAUAUAUAUAUAUAUAUAUAUAUAUAUAUAUAAGGGUUUGACUUUGACAAACUCUUAUCUCCCUGCCCUUUGCACCUUACCCCUUGAGGAAUCUAUGGGAAAAAAACAAGACACUUGUAAAAAAUAAAACAAUACAUGAUUUAAAUUUAGAACAAGACAGAUGUUGACUCUUCAACAUUUUAAUAGAUAACGAAUUUAUUAUAGGACAAGUUCCAAAAAAUUAAUCAGUUUAUAAAUUUAUUAUAAUCUAAACCUAAUUUUUUAGCAUACAAACCACACCCAAGUUUCUAAAUAUGUAUGUGGUCAUAAAAGCAAUUGCAAAUGCAAGGCAGAUGAUGACGCUCAUGUGAUAAUGAAGAUUGAUUUUUUUCAUAUAGGAAAAUGACAUUGUGACAUCAUGGAUCACGCUUUGGAUAGUAAACUGCGUCUAUGAUGUCACUAAUGACGUUUUUUACAAGUUUCAACCAAUGAAACAUCAUUAAUUUAAUUUUUUUAAUCAUGUCAUGUGGUCAUAUAUAAAAGCAAGCACAAUAUUAUUAUUGUAAUGAAAAUUGAUAUUCUUAUACGAUAUAAUCCAAUGACUAAGUCAAAAAUUAAAUUAGACGGUUGGUUUUCAUUUCUUAUUUUUUUGUGGUACUCAUGAUUGAAUAUAAAUAAAUUUAAUACUAGUUUGAAUUGUUUAAAAAAUAAAACUUAAAAAGAAAAUGGUGUUUCAUAAUUGUAUAACUGUUUUGAGAAUUGUUAUAUGAUGUAAGUAUAUAAUCGUUUUAAAAUUUUUGAAAUAUGGUUUUUUUAGAAAAAAUAUGAAAUGUUUUUCAAUCAAAUCAUUUUUAUGGGUUAUUAUUAAAUAUAAUUGAGAUUAUGACAAGCACGUAUUUGAGAUUUUUUUUACAUUCAAAUUCUUAGAUAUAAUCAUGUUAGAAUUAUUUUUAAGAAUAGUUAUUAAUAAGAUAAAAAUCCCUAAAAUUUUCUAUUAUACUCAUUAAAAAAAAACUCCUUAUUGUAAGGUGAGUAUAUAAGAAAUUGAUUAUAAUUUUAAAAAAAAAAAUCUUCUAUUUUAAAGAGAACAACUUGGUUUUAGAACAAAUACUGAUAAAAACAAGUUUCAAUUGUUCAAGAAUCCAAGAUCACAAGUCAUUAUGCAGUUAGAAAGACAUUCCAACAUAAAAAUUAGUCACCCUACAAAUCUAUGCUCACAUGCCAUAUGUACUAACAAAGCAUUCUAGCAUAAAAAUUAAUCAGUUUAUAAAUUUAUUCUAAUCUAAACCUAAUUUUUUAGCAUACAAACCACACCCAAGUUUCUAAAUAUGUAUGUGGUCAUAAAAGCAAAUGCAAAUGCAAGGCAGAUGAUGACGCUCAUGUGAUAAUAAAGAUUGAUUUUUUUCAUAUAGGAAAAUGACAUUGUGACAUCAUGCAUCACACUUUGGAUAGUAAACUGCGUCUAUGAUGUCACUAACGACGUUUUUUACAAGUUUCAACCAAUGAAACAUCAUUAAUUUAAUUUUUUAUAAUCAUGUCAUGUGGUCAUAUAUAAAAGCAAGCAAAAUAUUAUUAUUGUAAUGAAAAUUGGUAUUCUUAUAUGAUAUAAUCCAAUGACUAAGUCAAAAAUUAAAUUAGACGGUUGGUUUUCAUUUCUUAUUUUUUUGUGGUACUCAUGAUUGAAUAUAAAUAAAUUUAAUACUAGUUUGAAUUGUUUAAAAAAUAAAACUUAAAAAAAAAAUGGUGUUUCAUAACUGUAUAACUGUUUUGAGAAUUGUUAUAUGAUGUAACUAUAUAAUCGUCUUAAAAUUUUUUAAAUAUGGUUUUUUUAGAAUAAAUAUGAAAUGUUUUUAAAUCAUUUUUAUGGGUUAUUAUUAAAUAUAGUUGAGAUUAUGACAAUUACGUAUUUGAGAUUUUUUUUUACAUCAGAUAUAAUCUUGUUAGAAUUAUUUUUAAGAAUAGUUAUUAAUAAGAUAAAAAUCCCUAAAAUUUUCUAUUAUACUAAUUAAAAAAAAAACUCCUUAUUGUAAGGUCAGUAAAUAAGAAAUUGAUUAUAAUUUUUUUUUUAAAAUCUUCUAUUUAAAAAAGAACAAUUUGGUUUUAGAACACUGAUAAAAACUAGUUUCAAUUGUUCAAGAAUCCAAGAUCACAAGUCAUAUGCAGUUAGAAAGACAUUCCAACAUAAAAAUUAGUCACCCUACAAAACUAAACUCACAUGCCAUAUGUACUAACAAAGCAUUCCAGCAUAAAAAUUAAUCAUAAGCAAUUCUGGGUAGUCUUAUUAGCCUAGGAUUCAUACAAAUUAUAGAGAAGCCAUAAACAGUAUCUCUGUGCUAUGAUGUGCUUAGUUCAUAUGUAGUAAUGAAUCUUUUUCAGUUAAAAUUCAGACACUUCCUUCCGAACGAAGAAUUGGCCGGAAGGCCCCCCAUCAGGCAGCAGAGCCAAUCUCACAGGGCUUUCAGCACCUUCUUCGAUAGUUAAGAUGCCACUGUUGUAGUUUAGAUCUGUUUUGACAAAGCCAGGACAGACACAGUUGAUGCAAAGAGUAGGAUACUUCCUGGCCAGAAUCCUUGUGUAGGCAUUCAAGGCUGCUUUUGAGACUGUAUAGGCAGAGAGAUUAGAGGGCCAGCUUUUAGCUUCUAAUAAUCCCUCUUUGAAAUCUUUUAGAAACUGGUUUAAGACCUCAUCCACCCUCUCUUCUGUAAGGUUUUCAGCAUCACUUAACACUGCUUUUGCCCAUUCAUUCUUAAUAUUCUGGAACAACACAACAAGAAAAGUGAUGUAAGCAAAAAUACGACUUGGGGAAAUGCUUCAUUGACUCCCACACAAACAAAAGCCAACAGCUCUUAAUCAUUCACAACAGAUAAUUUCCAGGAAAAUAAGCAAGUUAUGUGCAUUAUAUAAUAGUAUGCAUUACCUCAAUAUUAUUAAUUACACUUACCAAACAGCAUCAAUCAACCCUUUUCUUCAUAUGGUUUUCUUCUAAACAAAUCAAGAUGUGACAAGUAGAUCUUCCAUCACCAAUCUAAAGUUCAAUAAGCUUACAAAAAUAUUUUGCUCUGUUGACUCAAUCAAGGCAUCUUUUGAGUGGAGCUGUAAUGAAAAAUUCACAACGAAACUUGAUCCUUCCAAGUUUCAAACUGAAUCAUUUGGCUCCAAUCCAACUCUACUGAAUUUCAUCAAAUUGCCCAAUUACAAACAUGGUUGAACAUCUUAAGUAUAUAUCAACAUUGUAUUCUGAAUGAGGAUUAGUGUUAUUUUGCACCUGCAGCUUUCCCAUUGAGGAGGAAACAUUGACAAUCCUUGGCGAAUCUGAUAACUGGAGAAGAGGAAUGAAAGCUUCAAUCAUCCUCUUUGGCCCAUAAUAGUUUAUUUUCAGGCAUUCUUCCACCAGCUCGAAAGGCUCAAUCAUUAUUUCCUUCCAAUUGACUUUUCCUACUGCCUGCAAAAUAAAAUGAAGAAAAUCUCAAUCCUCUUGGUAGCCAUUAUAUGCCCUACUCCAACAUAAAAAGAGAAGAAGAAAACUGCUUCUGGUAUGCAACAAGAUUUUCUUCCAUAAUUCUAGUUUCUAGAAAAGAUUUUCAUCUUCCUUUCAAGAGAAGGUAGAAGAAAAACUCAACAGCAUGGGGCCUUAGAAGUCUAAAUGUUGCUCCUUUUCAACUUUCAAAUAUACCCCAAUGGCUAUUAGAAUUUCAAAUCCACUCUUCUUUGAACUUACAGCCACAAUCAAUUGCUUUAAGCCAACAAAGAAAUUGUAUAUGAUACCUUACCUCAGCAGAAGCAAUUCUUGACCUUAAAGCAUCAGGAUCCGUUACAACCGUUCCACCUAUCCCUGCAUUGUUCACCUGUCCAGUAUCACACAUUUCUAUUAUCCAAUUUUUAACUAUAAAAGAACAAAAAAAUAAAGAAAUAUAAAGAAAGUUAUUAGAUACCUUCCAGCUAUUUAGAGGUCCUCCAUUCCUCAAGAAAUAUUCACUUCAAAAAUUUUCAAAGAAUCAUGAUGGAUAAGGAGAGAUUUGUUUUAUCAAGUGCAAACAUAUAUGGAAUUCAUUGGCAAAUCCACCUCAUAAAAGUUUAUGCAACUCCAUAUGGAUUGAUGGAUAUAAAAAAGAGAGAAAAUGAUGGAACCGAGGAGAGUAAAUAGGGCACUGGUUUAUAGUGGAAUAAGUAUAAUGAUAUACAAUCUGGACAUUACACAACACAAAAAUUCUACUUGUAGGAACGGUCACACCAAAGGACACAUGUUAUACGAAGAGACACGAGUCAUUUGGCGGUAGGGAUUUCAAUGGCAAUGACCUAGAAUGACCGCCCUGCUUUGAGGCAACCAUUGCAACAAGAUGUGAACCUGUCCCCUCUUAGGAUGGCAGACAUUGCAUCUAUUGUGAUGAGAUAAACAAUAAAUGCUAUUAACUCCUCCUACAUUGCAUCAGAAGAACCUUUAACAUAAAUUAUGAAGUUAUGAUAGUUAAUCAAGGACAAGAUUAGGUGAUCAAUCACUCAGCUAUAGAAUGGAGCAGACAGCUCAAUAACUGGUGGGAUCAGACCCACCAAAUCAGUGCAACCCUGAAUGAUAUAAAGACCCACAAGGGAAGGGGGAUUUCUCUAUUUUGAAUUCCUUCUCUUACCAAUUUAUCUAUUUAAGCCCUUGAGAUGCCCAUCAUCGACUUGAUCAUCAGAAAAGAAUUGGCCUAACUGGCCUCCCCACUCUAACCAUGCAUUUUAGUGUUAUAGAGGAAGGCUCAUCAAUAAGAAAGGUUAGCAACUUGCUUGGAGGGUGAAACUCUACUCAAACAGAAAACUUUAGUUUUUAACAUGGACUAUGUAGCAUAUAUUUGGAUAAGGUUAUGCUCCAAUCUCCACUGCUAGCAAAAAUAGGGGCACAACCUCAAGGACCUGACUUCCCAGCUAGAAUUCUUCUUAGGUACUGUUUUUGUGGAUGGGAGAGGAUAGUUGAUAUAGAAGAGAAUCCAAAAGAAACAUUAGUCAAUCAUAUACGUCACAAUUUCAAUGUUUCUAACGUAUUUCUCUCCAGUAAACCGAGGCCCUUCUUUCCUCACAUAGAACAACAACAAAAGGUUCUCCAUUUUGGCGGUUGCUUCAGAUAAAGUGGUCUAUCACAGUACAAAAGACAUGCCAAUUGAAGGCAAAUGGGAAAUUUGCUAUCUUCAAAAAUCAUCAUAAUCAUUGAAAUUGUCAGACAUUCAUAAACAUAUUCUCGAAAGAGGGGGAAAUUGAAAGGAAAAUUUUGGGUAAAUUGGGUAUGCUGUAAAUCAUCAAUCCAGGAGUAUCCAAGACUUGUGAUUGCCAUAAGAAGAACCAAUUAAACCAGAGAAAAAAAAAAGGAAAAAAAUCAUCAAGAAAUGAGGGUUUCAAUCUCAC
rnacentral:lncRNA from 1 species